GAUGAACGCUGGCGGCGUGCCUAAUACAUGCAAGUCGAGCGAACAGACGAGGAGCUUGCUCCUCUGACGUUAGCGGCGGACGGGUGAGUAACACGUGGAUAACCUACCUAUAAGACUGGGAUAACUUCGGGAAACCGGAGCUAAUACCGGAUAAUAUAUUGAACCGCAUGGUUCAAUAGUGAAAGACGGUUUUGCUGUCACUUAUAGAUGGAUCCGCGCCGCAUUAGCUAGUUGGUGAGGUAACGGCUUACCAAGGCGACGAUGCGUAGCCGACCUGAGAGGGUGGUCGGCCACACUGGAACUGAGACACGGUCCAGACUCCUACGGGAGGCAGCAGUAGGGAAUCUUCCGCAAUGGGCGAAAGCCUGACGGAGCAACGCCGCGUGAGUGAUGAAGGUCUUCGGAUCGUAAAACUCUGUUAUUAGGGAAGAACAAAUGUGUAAGUAACUAUGCACGUCUUGACGGUACCUAAUCAGAAAGCCACGGCUAACUACGUG
rnacentral:rRNA from 1 species